CCCUUAGAUGUUCUGGGCUGCACGCGCGCUACACUGACGCACUCAACGAGCUUAUCACCUUGGCAGAGAUGUCUGGGUAAUCUUUUGAAAGUUCGUCGUGCUGGGGAUAGAUGAUUGUAAUUAUUCGUCUUGAACGAGGAAUUCCUAGUAAGUGUGAGUCAUCAGCUCGCGCUGAUUACGUCCCUGCCCUUUGUACACACCGCCCGUCGCUCCUACCGAUUGAAUGGUCCGGUGAGGUUCUCGGAUUUUUUCUGUUGUUUGGUUCGCUAAACGAUUGAAGAGAGAAGUUACCCAAACCUUACCAUUUAGAGGAAGGAGAAGUCGUAACA
rnacentral:rRNA from 1 species